rfam:Deltaproteobacteria bacterium RIFCSPLOWO2_01_FTLL_45_74 rifcsplowo2_01_scaffold_324, whole genome shotgun sequence.
GACAACCUGCGAUGCGCGUGCUUGAAUGUGCUUAUCUUAGAACCGAUAAGUAUCUUCAGGGAGCUGUCCCUUGCUGUGGUGAGCAAGCCUGCUCAAGCCUUUUUGCAGGAAGCCUAAAACAGCAACAUGGUUCCCCCCUGACUAAUGUUAGGGUUCAUAAGAUAACCAAUCACACGGCAAGCGCGGGACCCGU